rnacentral:rRNA from 1 species
GUUACCCUACGGGAGGCAGCAGUGAGGAAUAUUGGUCAAUGGGCUUACGCCUGAGCCAGCCAAGUCGCGUGAGGGAAGACUGCCCUAUGGGUUGUAAACCUCUUUUGUCAGGGAGCAACGCCGGCUACGUGUAGCCGGACUGAGAGUACCUGAAAAAAAAGCAUCGGCUAACUCCGUGCCAGCAGCCGCGGUAAUACGGAGGAUGCGAGCGUUAUCCGGAUUUAUUGGGUUUAAAGGGUGCGUAGGCGGAAUGCCAAGUCAGCGGUAAAAUCGCGGGGCUCAACCUCGCUCCGCCGCUGAAACAG